rnacentral:lncRNA from 1 species
UUACUAGCUUUUAAUGCUCCACUUUAAUUUGCUAGAAAGUGAUGCAUUUUCACACAAACUGAGAAAUAUCUCUCUUCAUCUUGCUCCACCAGUAUCUGGGCUUAAAAUUCAGGUACAUCUUUGUGCUUCCUGGAUGCAUCACAAACUUGAAGUAGUGUGCUUCUUCUAAUAAGUCUUCCUUUACUUUAUUGUCAUUAGGCAUGCAUAACUAAUUUCUAAAUAUCAAAGUACCUUCCUCUGUAAGGUUAAAUUAUGGCUUGAGUCACUUGAUAACAUCAUCUCUAAU